rnacentral:lncRNA from 1 species
GAAAGAAAGAGAAGGAAAGCAAGCAAGCAGCCAAAGCCCUGGGAACCCAUCGAGGAAUGGCCCCGGCAGCAGAGUUACCCUCAGCCACAGGCCAGAGAUCAAACGUCGCUGAACCAGUGUGAGGAAAAGAAUGGCAGGCAGACGUCUUCUUUUUCCGCACACAGUCUGUAAUCAGCUCUCCACAAGGUCAUCCCAGAACACCAAGGACAGUCCAGAUACCUCCAGGCUCUCCUCAGUAAUGGACGGAAGCAGUGGUGCAGAUAAUCUGCCCAAAUGGCGGGCUCCAGUUCUCCCUGGAUUCCAGGAACACCAUCUCCUUCCUCGUCCCUUCCGUCCCAGGGAAGGUUUACACUGAAAAUUUUUUGUGAUGAAAAGAUUUGAAGAAGAUGACAGGAGACGGAGAAGCACCAGCUGAUCUGCAGACUCCAAGGAGGUCCCAGGAAGAGGUGUCAUCCACUAAGAUCUUCUGGGACAGGAAAGCCCUGUGAUACCUCUU